GGGGGCGGGGACGGCGGGGUCGGGAUGGCGGCGGCUAUGGCGAACCAGGGCGAGCGGGCGGUGCUGGAAGAAGAAUUUAAAUGGCUUUUACAAGAAGAGGUCCAUGCUGUUUUGAGACAGCUGCAGGAUAUUUUGAAGGAGGCCUCCCACCGCUUUGCCAUGCCCACUGGUGGCUCUGGAGGAGCUUUCAAGCAGGAGAACUUUGUACUGAGCACAUCAAGCACAGACCAGGUGAAAGGUGUGAUGACGCUGCAGGGAGAUGCACUGUGUCAAGCUGAUGUUAAUCUGAAAAUGCCCAGAAACAAUCAGCUCCUGCAUUUUGCAUUCCGGGAAGACAAGCAGUGGAAAUUGCAGCAGAUCCAGGAUGCUAGAAACCAUGUGAACCAAGCCAUUUAUCUGCUUACGAACAGAGAUGUGAACUACCAGUUCAAAACAGGCUUGGAGGUUCUCAAGCUUAUGGAUGCUGUGAUGUUGCAGCUCUCCAGAGCCCGAAAUCGGCUAACCACUCCUGCCACUCUGACACUACCAGAAAUUGCCUCCAGUGGUCUCACAAAAAUGUUCACUCCUGCGCUGCCUCCAGACAUCCUUGUGAAUUUCUAUAUUAACCUGAACAAGCUGUGCCUCACUGUCUACCAGCUCCAUGUGCUGCAGCCCAGCACAACCAAGAAUUUCAAGCCUGCUGGGGGGUCUGUUUUGCACAACCCUGGAGCCACAUUUGAAUUUGGCAGCCAGCGAUAUGAAGUCAGCCAUGUCCAUAAAGUGGAAUGUGUUGUCCCGUGGUUAAAUGAUGCCCUUGUCUUCUUCACAGUUUCACUGCAGCUUUGCCAGCAACUGAAGGACAAGAUCUCCGUUUUCUCCAGUUACUGGAACUACAGGCCAUAUUAAUUCUCUGUGGAAUGAUCUAAGCCUUUACAGUACUUCCAGUGUCUCUCUCUGUUCUCUCAUGCCAGCUGAAUCCGGGUCAGCCUGAGGAGUGCUGGGGUUCACUGCCAGAUGCCCUCCACAGGGCAGGCUCAGUGUACCCAGAGACACCGCUUUUGUAGCCUUGUCUGGGAUUCUUGCAUAAGCAGGGCACCAAGUAGUGCUGGGUGGUUGACAGGAACUUCCAUUGGUCCCUCUUGUGCAUUGUGUGGCUCACGCUUCCCAAACCCCUGAUGGAGUUACACAGGUCUGUUAAAACGGAUAGGUGCUCUGGACCACCCUCGCUGACUAGCUAUGUGCAUUGUGCUGUAAAUAACUCCUUGACUGUGAAGUGGCUAGAAAGGGGGUAAAACAGACUAACUUAACACAUCUCUUAAAAAGUAGGGCAUGUUGCUCCAUAUAGUGAAAUAUGUUUCUCUUAUCUGGUCCAGCUCUGCUUAUAACUAACCCUGAGUGACUCCCUCCCCUGCCUGUUCUGCCCAUCCCCAUGUUACUGAUUUCCACUUUGGGGAAUGCUCUUACUUGCUGCUGUUUGAAUUCUUUCCCCUCUCAUCCAGCAUCAAUGUGAUAUUAAUUUUUCCCUAAGCCCUAGUUGGGCCAAUUGGUCUUUUCCAGGUUUAGUGUCUUGUAUUCACUGCCAGCCUUUGGAGUUGCCUUGUGCAGUCUUUCAUCUUGUCAUUAAACGCGAACAUCGGAGAGGCGUGGUCAGGCGGCUGUUUUACUGCGUUUGGAGUCCACUGAUAAUGGAGGGUCCGAUCCUGGGAAUUCUACCACCAUCCAUCAUCUGCUGGAGCACCCAGGAAUUUGGAGCCCUUUCACCUGCCCUGCUAGAGCUGGGCCAGCCCUGUCCAGCCAUCGUGGCUUCGUCAGCACUGCUCACUUUGCCAGGGCACGCCCCGCCUUUGCCUGCCAGGACACCCCCCUGCCUGCUGGGGACCCUCACCAUUCCAUCCCCCAGCCUGGGAGUUUUCUACCGUGCCAGCUUGGUGCUCUCAGGGUCCCAAGAGAUCAGACUGCCCCACAGAGCCCCUCGCGGUUCCUGGUGUGGUAUAUGUCCUAAAGUUAAUUUGUGUUAAAGGAUAUAAAAUGUAAUGCAAUCUCUAUAAGUUUUGUUUUAAUCCCGUAUGCUAAGAGUUAACUCAGGGGAAAGUAGCUCGGAAAAGGUACAGGAAUUUCUCUUGCGUGAAAAGACAUGGGAGGGACACGAGAUAAAAAUGAUUGGAAUUACCAGAAAGGGAGACCCAAAAAUGCCUCUGCCGGGAAGUGUUAGAAAAAGAACAAUGACAACGGAAAAGGAGAUGAGAGCCUGGAGAACCGGAUGAUUACAUCAGAUGGAUAUCUAGACCGUCUCCUCCUGAAAUUAACAUCUCCACACCACACCUGGACCCAACCAUUAACGGCAUUGUCCUUUCCCGCUGCCCUAUUCAGACUCUUAGAACUGGAACAUAAAUGUUUAAUGAAGAUGCCUCGGAGGAAGGACCCUCGAAAUCCCGAGUUUCUCUCAGCGAUCCAGUGUAUAAAAAGAGGCUGCUGCAAGGGAGAAAUGUGAACUUGGGGGAUAACAGACUGGCAGAGUGUGUUAUCAUUGUUCACCCAGCGCCGACCCCGGGCUCGACGCUGUCCUUUUAAUUGUGGCUGUCUGAGACUGCCAUUCUGUCUCUCAAUAAAAUUCCAAAUUUUGAUUUAUCUAAUUUGGUGAAUCAUAUUUAUUACACUGGUUCUGUUUAUUAUUAAUGCUGUAGUUGUUGUUGUUGUUUGUUUGCCUUGUUAUACUUACAAGUAAAGAACUGUUAUUCCUUUCCCCAUAGCUCUGACUGAAAAGCCUCUUUAAUCUU